CCAUCUCUUAAGCAUUACUUGAGAUUUGAGAAUUUCCCAUUCUAUUCCAUUAUUUUUUGAGACAUCAAAUCUCCUGUUCCUUAGAAUUUCAAAUUAUUUAUCAAUGGAUUUGAGACGAUCAUCUCGUUGUUGUUAUCUCUUUGCCAUAUUUAUUCUUGCCAUUGCUGUCUGGUUUUCUCCAUCUGCAGCUUCCAUCGCUGGCAAAGAUAUUAAUCCUCCAUAUCCUAAAGCUAUUUCUGACUUGAAGGAGUCAAUUGUAAAGGGUUUAGGUUUUCAAGCGGAGGAUUUCAAGAUAUCUGGGUUUGAUUUGAAGGAUGCUCUUGUGGGUAGGUCGGUGUCUUAUGAGUUUGAUGUGGAAGUUGAUAAUAAAGUAAUUCCCUUAAAGCUUUUGGAGGAUGUGAAUAAAUGGGAAUUUGUAGAUUUGCCUAUUUUUCGGGUAGAGAAAGGUGAAGAAAAUGGGUUGGUUGAAAGGCAGACAUUGGAGAAUCAGGUGCCUGUUUUGGCUCCAUUUACUUUGGCAGGUCCCAUGGAGCUGUGGAUCCAGGAUGCCAAGGACAUGAGAAUUUCAUUACCUCAUGAUGUGGAUGCUGGGGAGUUGAGGAAAGUGAUUUUAGCCGAUGGUGCUGUCGUUACUGUCAAGGGUGCCAGAUCUGUUAGCCUGCGGCACCCUAUAGAACUUCCACUGCCCUUCAACAGAACGAUAAAUGGCUUUGCCUCUGGUAUGUUGGCAUUGGCUGAAUAUCUACGUCAAGCUUCUCUCGCUCAAGAGGGACCUCUCCUCUCUCUUAGAAUUGUUG
rnacentral:misc_RNA from 1 species